ACGUAGGGGGCGAGCGUUAUUCGGAAUUACUGGGUGUAAAGGGUAUGUAGGCGGCCCUUCAAGUCGCGUGUCAAAGUCCAGUGCUCAACGCUGGGUGUGCGCGCGAUACUGACGGGCUUGAGGGCGGUAGAGGUGAGCGGAAUUCCCGGUGUAGUGGUAAAAUGCGUAGAGAUCGGGAGGAACACCAGUGGCGAAGGCGGCCCACUAGACCGUCUCUGACGCUAAGAUGCGAAAGCGUGGGGAGCAAACAG
rnacentral:rRNA from 1 species